GCGGUUGGAACGCUCUAACGGCCGCCGCGUGCCCCUCGGGCGGAAGGCGCCUUGACGAGGCUGCGCCCGCCAGGGUCCGGUCCCGGCGGUAACGGGCUGUGGGGCCGCCCUGUUACGCGUUCAGAAUCAUGGUCAGGAUUUGAGCUCUAAGGCAGACUCCAGUAACUGAAGGAGAUGAGGAGUUCUGCCUCUUCAUCUUCCUGAGUAUAUGUCUCGUGUUUCAGCACUGCCACCAGGGCAUGAAUAUUGGCUCUGCUUGAAGUGUUAACUUUUUGGUGCCAUACAGAUCGUAUCUGAGGUAUGCUUGAUAAUGUAUAGGUAUUCAAAUUGGAAAGCUCUGUCAAAGUAAGUUACUGUCUGUUGCAGACUUAUGCAGUAGCUACAUAAACUGUUUGUUAAGGUUAAUUUGGGCAAUGCAAGUACCGAAAUGUAUCUGGAAAAGCUACUUUGGAGUAUUAGGUGUACUGAAGGAUGAGGACUAUUUGUAUCCUAAUGUGGAAGGCAGAGCGAGCAUGCUCACAGUCAGAAGCCUGCAACUACUGUACUUAACAGCUAUAAAAUAUGAUGUUUUUCUUAGAAUCGUCUUAAAACCAUGGAAACUGAAUGAAGUGGAUACAGAUGAACAAAAAAGUCAGUUAACCAAGAGAGAAUAUCAUUACUAACACUGUAAUUUCGUGAUGAAUCUAAGCUGAGGCAGCUACUGGAGGAUGGAUUUUGCCUGCAGUUGGUGGUGUGUCUUCUGUGAUGUUCUUUUGCAGUUAUUUAUGUGGAUAUGCUUCCUUUUUAUAUUUGAGUUUUGUCUGGAGCUCCUUCAUCCAAUGAACUGCAGCAAAUGAUUGCAUUAAGACUGUCUCUAAUUUUUUUCUUUUGAGUUAAAUUGAACUUUGAGCUAUAAUCUUGCAUAUUUUGCUAUGUAGAUAUUAGAUUCUUGUGCAGGCAUGAGGAAGGGAAAGGAGCAGGAAAUAAGGAGCCAGGAAAAAGGUUUCUACAUUUUUUGUAACUGCACUAACUUAAAUUUUUGACAAGGUUAUGUCAUAAUAUGGUAAAUUCCUUCACUGCAGACAAAAAGCCUAUUUCCCUUUUUUGAGAAACCUAAAUUUAGCUUCUAGCUGAUACAGUUUUUACUGCUUGUUCCUAACUCUUAACAAAAAAAAAAGUACUCUUUGUACAGACUUCAACAAAUAUAUUUAGACUGAGAAAAUAUUUCUGUGAGAAAACAAAAAGCCCCCAAACUUCACACAUAACAGCAGUUUUUAUUCUAGUUAAUUUUGCAAAGUAACUCAGGCUCUCAAAAAUUCAUGUGGAUGUAUUGACAUAAGAACAGAAAAACUGGUGUCUAUGUAUCCUUUAGGUUAAUGAAACAAUAUAUUAUAUUAACUGCUGUUUUCUUGAAAGACUGAAGAGAACAAAAUAUAUAUUCCGAGAAGAUACGUGUUUUUUAUUUGUUUACCUUUCUUCGUGGGUAGAUUUUGUGUACAUGUGAUACAUUUUCAAUGAUAUGGUGUUAUCAUAAGCAAUGCCUGUCCUUGCCACUGUCUCCUUUACUGUAUCGCCCCAUUGGUUCUGUGCACAACCACACAAACACUUGCACCAUGCAUUCUGGUUAAGCAUCAGUUAUGAGUGAGAUGGGAGAUAAAUGGAUGGGUUUUUCUUAAUAUACUCAUGUUACACUCCAGUCAUGCUGAACUGACAUGAAUUCUAAAGCAUCAUCUUGGCUUGUUGUGACAGUGACAACGCCUGUUGUAAUUUGUACCUUGGGG